UUUCCGUAGGUGAACCUGCGGAAGGAUCAUUAAUAAAUGGCUCCAUUUUAGAGCAUUAAUAAUCCCUACCCUUUGUGAAUUUGUUUGUUUGAAUAAUUUUUUUUCCAAAAAAAAUUAUUGAAUGUCUUUCCCUGUUUUGGUGGAGCUUGUAAAGUGAAACCAGGCAGGGGAAUGGCAAACAAUAAUUAUUUUUGAAAAAAGACCUUUUUUUAAAAUUAAACUUUUUGUAUUCAUUUGUCUAAAAUUAUUUUUAUAAUAUAAAAACAACUUUUGACAAUGGAUCUCUUGGUUCUCGCAACGAUGAAGAACGCAGCAAAAUGCGAUAAGUAGUGUGAAUUGCAGAAUACGUGAAUCAUCGAAUCUUCGAACGCAUAUUGCACUUUUUUAGUUUACUAAAAAAGUAUGUCUGUUUGAGUAUCAGUAAAAUAUUCUCAUAAAAAACAUUGUUUUUUUAUGGUUAUGAGUGUUUUACAACGAUAACAAGUUGUUUCACUUUAAGUUCUUUGUUAUCAAAAAAAUCAUUAAAAGCUAAUUUUAAAGAUUUUUUAAAAUUGGAUAAAAUUUUCCCGUAAAAAGGAAUAACCUAAACAAUUUUAAAAAAUUAAAAUUGGUUUGAUUUUUUUUGAAACCCAAAGGAAAAAAAAACGAAAUUAACUUGAUCUCAAAUCAGAUAAGAGUACCCGCUGAACUUAAGCAUAUCAAUAAGCGGAGGAAAAGAAACUAACUAGGAUUCCCUCAGUAACGGCGAGUGAAGCGGGAAGAGCUCAAAUUUGAAAUCUUCAAGGUUUUACCUUGACGAAUUGUAGUUUAAAGAAGUGUUUUCUGUUGGAGUUUUGGUAAAAGUUCUUUGGAAAAGGACAUCAUAGAGGGUGAGAAUCCCGUAUUUGACCAUUAUCUCCAGCUUUGUGAUACACUUUCAAAGAGUCGGAUUGUUUGGGAAUGCAGUCCAAAAUGGGUGGUAAAUUUCAUCUAAAGCCAAAUACUGGCGAGAGACCGAUAGCGAACAAGUACCGUGAGGGAAAGAUGAAAAGAGCUUUGAAAAGAGAGUUAAACAGUACGUGAAAUUGUCAAAAGGGAAGCGUUUGACACCAGUGUUGUUUUCUCGAAAAUCAAUUAAAAAAGGCUGGAUUUUGUGUUGUAUUGACUUUAUCAGCUUUCUGCACUUUUUUCUUGUCUUUUUUAAUGCACUUUUCGUUUAACAAGUCAACAUCAAUUUCUUUUGUUGUAAAAGGGUCAUUGGAAGGUGGCUUUCUUUUCGGAGAAAGUGUUUAUAGCCUUUGGCCUCUGCAAUCGGAGAGAUUGAGGUCUGCAGCGUAGAUCCUUCGGGGUUAGAUACAUUUGUGCUAAGUUAUAGCCUUUCAUAGACAACUUGUUGACUAUGAUCAGCCAUGUAGCUUACUCGCUUAUGCUAUUUUACCACGCUUAGGAUGUUG
rnacentral:misc_RNA from 1 species